CUAACCUGGGGAUCUCAGUGAUAUUGGCAACUUUUCUGGACAAUGCUUGUGUAAUACUAAGCUAUUGCUUUGCUGACCUACUUCUUUUCUGCUCAGGACUGCAGAUAUGCUGUUCUUCAUUGUCUUCUAAGAACAUUGCUGUGUUCCUUGCCAACUGGCAUUUUCUGUUCCCUUUCACCUGAACCCCUUAGCACACUUCUACUUAUUUUCAGCCUCUGACAUCUUCCCUCCUUUUUGUAAAUCUUGCUGACUGGAAUUCUAAUAUAGAGGAAUAAUGUUGCAUUGGUGACUGGACUUGGAGAAGGUAUGGAGCACAACUGGAUUCAGAGACAAAGUUGAAAAGUAUUUUGAGAUUUACAGACAGCUCUCCCUGAGGUGCCCAUACCUCCUAUAAAAAGACUGCAAAUCAUAGCUCCAUCUUACCCCCAACGCUUGGCAUCCUAGAGGACUCCUGCUGACUACUGGAUUUGUUGC